GGCGCAUUGGUCUAGGGGUUCAGGACGCCGCCCUCUCACGGCGGAAAUCACGGGUUCAAAUCCCGUAUGCGCUA
rnacentral:tRNA from 1 species